rnacentral:rRNA from 1 species
UACGGAGGGUGCAAGCGUUAAUCGGAAUCACUGGGCGUAAAGCGCUCGUAGGCGGCUUGGUCAGUCAGAUGUGAAAGCCCUCGGCUUAACCGGGGAACUGCAUUUGAUACUGCCAGGCUUGAGUGUCGGAGAGGGUGGCGGAAUUCCAGGUGUAGGAGUGAAAUCCGUAGAUAUCUGGAGGAACACCAGUGGCGAAGGCGGCCACCUGGACGACAACUGACGCUGAGGAGCGAAAGCGUGGGUAGCAAAC